GAUGAACGCUGGCGGCGUGCCUAAUACAUGCAAGUCGAGCGAACGGACGAGAAGCUUGCUUCUCUGAUGUUAGCGGCGGACGGGUGAGUAACACGUGGAUAACCUACCUAUAAGACUGGGAUAACUUCGGGAAACCGGAGCUAAUACCGGAUAAUAUUUUGAACCGCAUGGUUCAAAAGUGAAAGACGGUCUUGCUGUCACUUAUAGAUGGAUCCGCGCUGCAUUAGCUAGUUGGUAAGGUAACGGCUUACCAAGGCAACGAUGCAUAGCCGACCUGAGAGGGUGAUCGGCCACACUGGAACUGAGACACGGUCCAGACUCCUACGGGAGGCAGCAGUAGGGAAUCUUCCGCAAUGGGCGAAAGCCUGACGGAGCAACGCCGCGUGAGUGAUGAAGGUCUUCGGAUCGUAAAACUCUGUUAUUAGGGAAGAACAUAUGUGUAAGUAACUGUGCACAUCUUGACGGUACCUAAUCAGAAAGCCACGGCUAACUACAUGCCAGCAGCCGCGGUAAUACGUAGGUGGCAAGCGUUAUCCGGAUUAUUGGGCGUAAAGCGCGCGUAGCGGUUUUUUAGUCUGAUGUGAAAGCCCACGGCUCAACCGUGGAGGGUCAUUGGAAACUGGAAAACUUGAGUGCAGAAGAGGAAAGUGGAAUUCCAUGUGUAGCGGUGAAAUGCGCAGAGAUAUGGAGGAACACCAGUGGCGAAGGCGACUUUCUGGUCUGUAACUGACGCUGAUGUGCGAAAGCGUGGGGAUCAAACAGGAUUAGAUACCCUGGUAGUCCACGCCGUAAACGAUGAGUGCUAAGUGUUAGGGGGUUUCCGCCCCUUAGUGCUGCAGCUAACGCAUUAAGCACUCCGCCUGGGGAGUACGACCGCAAGGUUGAAACUCAAAGGAAUUGACGGGGACCCGCACAAGCGGUGGAGCAUGUGGUUUAAUUCGAAGCAACGCGAAGAACCUUACCAAAUCUUGACAUCCUUUGACAACUCUAGAGAUAGAGCCUUCCCCUUCGGGGGACAAAGUGACAGGUGGUGCAUGGUUGUCGUCAGCUCGUGUCGUGAGAUGUUGGGUUAAGUCCCGCAACGAGCGCAACCCUUAAGCUUAGUUGCCAUCAUUAAGUUGGGCACUCUAAGUUGACUGCCGGUGACAAACCGGAGGAAGGUGGGGAUGACGUCAAAUCAUCAUGCCCCUUAUGAUUUGGGCUACACACGUGCUACAAUGGACAAUACAAAGGGCAGCGAAACCGCGAGGUCAAGCAAAUCCCAUAAAGUUGUUCUCAGUUCGGAUUGUAGUCUGCAACUCGACUACAUGAAGCUGGAAUCGCUAGUAAUCGUAGAUCAGCAUGCUACGGUGAAUACGUUCCCGGGUCU
rnacentral:rRNA from 1 species